rnacentral:rRNA from 1 species
UGGGGAAUUUUGGACAAUGGGCGAAAGCCUGAUCCAGCAAUGCCGCGUGUGUGAAGAAGGCCUUCGGGUUGUAAAGCACUUUUGUCCGGAAAGAAAUCCUUGGCUCUAAUACAGUCGGGGGAUGACGGUACCGGAAGAAUAAGCACCGGCUAACUACGUGCCAGCAGCCGCGGUAAUACGUAGGGUGCAAGCGUUAAUCGGAAUUACUGGGCGUAAAGCGUGCGCAGGCGGUUUGCUAAGACCGAUGUGAAAUCCCCGGGCUCAACCUGGGAACUGCAUUGGUGACUGGCAGGCUAGAGUAUGGCAGAGGGGGGUAGAAUUCCACGUGUAGCAGUGAAAUGCGUAGAGAUGUGGAGGAAUACCGAUGGCGAAGGCAGCCCCCUGGGGCCAAUACUGACGCUCAUGCACGAAAGCGUGGGGAGCAAACAGGAUUAGAUACCCUGGUAGUCCACGCCCUAAACGAUGUCAACUAGUUGUUGGGGAUUCAUUCCUUAGUAACGUAGCUAACGCGUGAAGUUGACCGCCUGGGGAGUACGGUCGCAAGAUUAAAACUU